rnacentral:rRNA from 1 species
GACGAACGCUGGCGGCGUGCUUAACACAUGCAAGUCGAACGGUGAAGCCCUUCGGGGUGGAUCAGUGGCGAACGGGUGAGUAACACGUGCGCAACCUGCCCCUGGCUCUGGGACAACCACUGGAAACGGUGGCUAAUACCGGAUACGACCCGCCUCGGCAUCGAGUGUGGGGGGAAAGUUUUUCGGCUGGGGAUGGGCUCGCGGCCUACCAGCUUGGUGGUGAGGUGAAGGCUCACCAAGGCGACGACGGGUAGCCGGCCUGAGAGGGCGACCGGCCACACUGGGACUGAGACACGGCCCAUACUCCUACGGGAGGCAGCAGUGGGGAAUAUUGCACAAUGGGCGAAAGCCUGAUGCAGCGACGCCGCGUGAGGGAUGACGGCCGUCGUGUUGUAAACCUCUUUCAGCUCCGAAGAAGCGAAAGUGACGGUAGUAGCAGAAGAAGCACCGGCUAACUACGUG